AGCAGCCGCGGUAAUUCCAGCUCCAAUAGCGUAUAUUAAAGUUGUUGCAGUUAAAAAGCUCGUAGUUGAAUUUCGGGGUUAGUAGGUUGGUCAUGCCUCUGGUAUGUACUGGUCUCACUGAUUCCUCCUUCCUGAUGAACCUUAAUGCCAUUAAUUUGGUGUUUUGGGGAAUUUGGACUGUUACUUUGAAAAAAUUAGAGUGUUUAAAGCAAGCUAACGCUUGAAUGCAUUAGCAUGGAAUAAUGAAAUAGGACGUUCGAUCCUAUUUUGUUGGUUUCUAGGAUUGACGUAAUGAUUAAUAGGGAUAGUUGGGGGCAUUAGUAUUCAAUUGUCAGAGGUGAAAUUCUUGGAUUUAUUGUAGACUAACUAUUGCGAAAGCAUUUGCCAAGGAUGUUUU
rnacentral:rRNA from 1 species